UACGAAGGGGCUAGCGUUGUUCGGAAUCACUGGGCGUAAAGCGCACGUAGGCGGCUUGUUAAGUCGGGGGUGAAAUCCUGGAGCUCAACUCCAGAACUGCCUUCGAUACUGGCAAUCUGGAGUUCGGUAGAGGUGAGUGGAAUUCCGAGUGUAGAGGUGAAAUUCGUAGAUAUUCGGAGGAACACCAGAAGCGAAGGCGGCUCACUGGACCGACACUGACGCUGAGGCGCGAAAGCGUGGGAGCAAACAGGG
rnacentral:rRNA from 1 species